AUGGAGGAGAAGGCGGCGGCUCACAUCAACCCUGCAAACAAUAAUAUUUCUCCUUUUCACAUUCAAAAUAUACAGUUCCAAAAUGCAGGUUACAGUGAUGCUGCGUACAAUCCGGAAAUUGCAAAAGAAGAAGCUGGUCUUGGAGUUUUUCUUAGAAAUGUUAUUUUAAACCAUACUGUAUUUGUUCAAGCUGCUGCAAAAAAUGUUUGCUCUGUUUUGCAGGCUGAAGCUAUUGGAUUAUCACUGUCGGCUGAGGUGGUUAAAGCUCUAGGAUGGAAUACUGCUAUUUUCUUAUCUGAUUGCAGGAAUCUUGUCCAGGUGGCUAAAGCAAGAAACCUUUUAGAGAGUCCAGGAGAUUGGAGGAUAAGACCUAUGCUUGCUGAAUUUCUUAAUCACACUUCUUUUCUUUCAUCAUGUGAAGUCAGGUCUAUACCUAGGAAUGGGAAUGUCAUUGCUUAUUCCCUAGCUAAAAAAGCUUUUAUGCAAAGAGCUGUCUCUAGUUCUUCAAUCUUAUGCAGCAAAUCUUCUGGAUGUAAAGCUCAACAAGCUUUAAACCCUAUCUCCUUUCCUUUUCAAAAGUUGAUCUCUGUACACUGUUUGGGUUGCAAAUAA
rnacentral:rRNA from 1 species